GAGGGAUAUUGCACAAUGGGCGAAAGCCUGAUGCAGCGACGCCGCGUGAGGGAUGACGGUCUUCGGAUUGUAAACCUCUGUCCUUGGUGAAGAAGAAAGUGACGGUAGCCAAGGAGGAAGCCACGGCUAACUACGUGCCAGCAGCCGCGGUAAUACGUAGGUGGCAAGCGUUGUCCGGAAUUACUGGGUGUAAAGGGAGCGCAGGCGGGCUUGUAAGUCAGCUGUGAAAUUCAAGGGCUUAACCCUUGACAUGCAGUUGAAACUACAGGUCUUGAGUGAAGUAGAGGUAGGCGGAAUUCCGAGUGUAGCGGUAAAAUGCGUAGAUAUUCGGAGGAACACCGGUGGCGAAGGCGGCCUACUGGGCUUUUACUGACGCUGAGGCUCGAAAGUGUGGGGAGCAAACA
rnacentral:rRNA from 1 species